rnacentral:rRNA from 3 species
ACGGGUGAGUAACACGUGGGCAAUCUGCCCUUCACUCUGGGACAAGCCCUGGAAACGGGGUCUAAUACCGGAUAACACUUCCACUCGCAUGGGUGGAGGUUAAAAGCUCCGGCGGUGAAGGAUGAGCCCGCGGCCUAUCAGCUUGUUGGUGAGGUAAUGGCUCACCAAGGCGACGACGGGUAGCCGGCCUGAGAGGGCGACCGGCCACACUGGGACUGAGACACGGCCCAGACUCCUACGGGAGGCAGCAGUGGGGAAUAUUGCACAAUGGGCGAAAGCCUGAUGCAGCGACGCCGCGUGAGGGAUGACGGCCUUCGGGUUGUAAACCUCUUUCAGCAGGGAAGAAGCGAAAGUGACGGUACCUGCAGAAGAAGCGCCGGCUAACUACGUGCCAGCAGCCGCGGUAAUACGUAGGGCGCAAGCGUUGUCCGGAAUUAUUGGGCGUAAAGAGCUCGUAGGCGGUCUGUCGCGUCGGAUGUGAAAGCCCGGGGCUUAACCCCGGGUCUGCAUUCGAUACGGGCAGACUAGAGUGUGGUAGGGGAGAUCGGAAUUCCUGGUGUAGCGGUGAAAUGCGCAGA